UCGUCAGAGAUAAACAUGAAAAGGCUCGCGUGUUAUUAUGUCAUGCGAGCACGUAGAAACCCUCUAAGAUAAAAACAGGACUGUGGUUAACGGUUUUACUCAUGAGCUUAAACACCUUUGUUUAUUUACGACUGUGGCCAAACAGCUCAGGAAACGUGAGCUUAAAGGGACAGUUCAGCCAGUAAUGAAAAUUCUGUCGUUAUGUGAAUCGUCACCAUGUCUUUCCAAAAUUGUCUUCUAAACCCAAACAUAAAUGUUAAGCAGAAUGAGUCUAGAAUUGUAUGUGGAAAAAGAUGCAGUAAGUGAAUUGUGACUGACUCUUGACAAACAACAUGAGGGAUAGUAAACUUGACAGAAAUGUCACUUUUGGGUGGUUACUUAUCCCUUUAAAAUAGUCCAAAAUUAGACCAAUUGUACAUGCCAUAAUUUUUUGUCCAUACAAUGGAAGUCAGCUAUAACCAAAACGGUUAGAGUCCCAACAGUCUUCAAAAUAUCAUCAUCUGUGUUUUGCUGAAGAAGAAAAGAAAAAGAAAAGACAUGAGGGUUGAAUUCAUCCCGAGACAGUGUGUCUAUGCUGACCUCAUUCUUCACACUGCUGCGGGGCUUCCGGGCAUCAUAAAAGAGUUUCCAGAGAUGGGCCAGCCAGGCCUGCAGCAGGAUGAACUGGGAAGAGAGGCGCUUGAGAACCAUGGGUAACAGACCAUCUGCAGGCAGCAAGAGACCACAGCGAUGAAUAACAGAAUUCUGCCUGUGUUCCAGUGAAUGGCAGAUCGACCAUCUCCAUCGUGACCACAUCAGCCAGGGCCUCCUCCCUCAUCCAGACCACCCUGCCUACAGUGAGACACAAAAAUCAACUUCUUGUCUUUUGUAGUUUAUACUAG